GCUCUCGCAGUCUCGCGAGCUCUCUCUCUCGCUUACUCUCUCUGUCUCUUUGAAACCGAUCUUUCCUAGGGUUUUGUUUGGAACGACGAAGACCCACACCCACAACGAACAAGGACGACGAAGACUCGACCUUCGUUGUGGAAUGGCAGAAAAGAGGUUUUAUUAUGUUGUUUUUGUUGGAAAAAUCCCCGGAAUCUAUGAUAGUUGGAUAGCUUGUAGCGAACAAGUAACUCGCUUCUCUGGGGCCGUGUUUAAAAAGUAUCGCUCAUUGAAAGAGGCAAAUAAUGCUUGGACUGCAUAUGUUGAAGCUCAUUCCAAUGUGCAAUUGCUAUCUCCUCAACUUGCUCAACUCCCGACCGAUUAUCCACCUUUGCUCGUACCCGUGCAAGCAAACAUGGAUGACCAAACUACUUCCAAGCUGCCCAAACAUUGCCUGUACAUUGCAAUGCUCUUAGUUGGAGCUGUAAUAGGAAUUUUAAUUUUGUUGGUCAUCAUCUAUAUUUUCUUUUAGUUGGUUUAUAUAAUGGUUAUGUUUAACAAAAUUUCUAGCUUGGAGCGAGAUACUUUUGGCAGUUAGUUUAGUAAUUGAUAUGAUGUAAUACUAGUAGGUUGUGGU